rnacentral:rRNA from 1 species
GAUGAACGCUGGCGGCGUGCCUAAUACAUGCAAGUCGAGCGAACAGACGAGGAGCUUGCUCCUCUGACGUUAGCGGCGGACGGGUGAGUAACACGUGGAUAACCUACCUAUAAGACUGGGAUAACUUCGGGAAACCGGAGCUAAUACCGGAUAAUAUAUUGAACCGCAUGGUUCAAUAGUGAAAGACGGUUUUGCUGUCACUUAUAGAUGGAUCCGCGCCGCAUUAGCUAGUUGGUAAGGUAACGGCUUACCAAGGCAACGAUGCGUAGCCGACCUGAGAGGGUGAUCGGCCACACUGGAGCUGAGACCCGGUCCAGACUCCUACGGGAGGCAGCAGUAGGGAAUCUUCCGCAAUGGGCGAAAGCCUGACGGAGCAACGCCGCGUGAGUGAUGAAGGUCUUCGGAUCGUAAAACUCUGUUAUUAGGGAAGAACAAAUGUGUAAGUAACUAUGCACGUCUUGACGGUACCUAAUCAGAAAGCCACGGCUAACUACGU